GAAGGUUCUGUCAUACACUCCGGC
rnacentral:miRNA from 17 species